UUCCGCGUGGCCCUAUGGAUAAGGCGUCUGACUUCGAAUCAGAAGAUCGCAGGUCCGAGUCCUGUCGCGGCGA
rnacentral:tRNA from 13 species